GGAGUUAGUUUAUAAAAAUAUUGGUUUUGGGGAUCGAGGAUAGAAAAUUUCUACUCCUGAAG
rnacentral:tRNA from 1 species